rnacentral:rRNA from 1 species
ACGGAAGGCAGCAGUGGGGGAUAUUGCACAAUGGGGGGAACCCUGAUGCAGCGACGCCGCGUGAGUGAAGAAGUAUUUCGGUAUGUAAAGCUCUUUGAGCAGGGAAGACAAUGACGGUACCUGCAGAAUAAGCCCCGGCUAACUACGUGCCAGCAGCCGCGGUAGUACGUAGGGGGCAAGCGUUAUCCGGAUUUACUGGGUGUAAAGGGAGCGUAGACGGCAUAGCAAGUCUGAAGUGAAAUGUAGGGGCUUAACCCCUGAACUGCUUUGGAAACUGUUAGGCUUGAGUACCGGAGGGGCAGGCGGAAUUCCUGGUGUAGCGGUGAAAUGCGUAGAUAUCAGGAAGAACACCGGUGGCGAAGGCGGCCUGCUGGACGGUAACUGACGUUGAGGCUCGAAAGCGUGGGGAGCAAACAGGAUUAGAUACCCUGGUA